UACGGAGGGUGCGAGCGUUGUCCGGAAUCACUGGGCGUAAAGGGCGCGUAGGCGGCCUGAUAAGUAGGGGGUGAAAUCCUGCGGCUUAACCGCAGGGCUGCCUUCUAAACUGUCAGGCUAGAGCACAGUAGAGGCAGGUGGAAUUCCCGGUGUAGCGGUGGAAUGCGUAGAGAUGCGGAGGAACACCGAUGGCGAAGGCAGCCCCCUGGGCUAGCACUGACGCUCAGGCACGAAAGCGUGGGGAGCAAACAGG
rnacentral:rRNA from 1 species